CCCUUAGAUGUUCUGGGCCGCACGCGCGCUACGCUGAUGCAUUCAACGAGUCUAAAACCUGCUCUGAUAGGGGUGGGUAAUCUUUUGAAUGUGCAUCGUGAUUGGGAUAGAUGAUUGCAAUUUUUCAUCUUCAACGAGGAAUGCCUAGUAAACGCAAGUCAUCAGCUUGCAUUGAUUACGUCCCUGCCCUUUGUACACACCGCCCGUCGCUCCUACCGAUUGAAUGAUCCGAUGAAUAUCAUGGAUUGAGGAUGCAAGUAGGUUCGCCUAUCUUCAUCUUCGAGAAGUGAAGUAAAUCUUAUCAUUUAGAGGAAGGAGAAGUCGUAACA
rnacentral:rRNA from 1 species